UACGGAGGGGGCUAGCGUUGUUCGGAAUUACUGGGCGUAAAGGGCGCGUAGGCGGCGCGAUAAGUUGGGCGUGAAAGGCCCGGGCUCAACCCGGGGACUGCGCUUGAUACUGUCGCGCUGUGAGUCCGGGAGAGGAUGGCGGAAUUCCCAGUGUAGAGGUGAAAUUCGUAGAUAUUGGGAAGAACACCGGUGGCGAAGGCGGCCAUCUGGACCGGCACUGACGCUGAGGCGCGAAAGCUAGGGGAGCAAACGGG
rnacentral:rRNA from 1 species